CCAGGAUGCUUUUCGGAUGCGUCCCUUUUGGGGGGAGGGGUGCUGGGGGGGCGGCACUAAACCAAGAAAUUCGGGCUUGUGUAAUGAAGCGAAAAAGUGCUCGAGACUUGAAUGCUACUCGGGUACUGUUUCUAUUAGCUGCGUAACUAGAACCACAGCCGCCAAUUCCUGGGAAUUUUCUUACUUGUGGAAUUGGUUGUCGAUGAGAACGACCUCAGUGUCUUGGAUGAGGCUCAGGCUGGCUUCUAGAAUCCCCCACCUAGUUAGUAAGAGAGUCUGCAAGAAAUGCUCACCUAGGGAACUCCUUUGUAACCUGCCGCAAAUACCUCCUCCUCCAGAGUGCCCAUGGAGGCCAGGAGUAAAAGUGUAAUCUCAGGACUUGGGUGGCGGAGUCAGGAAGCUCCUGAGUUCCAAGCCAGCGUGGACUACAUAUGGAGACCUGUUUCACACACACACCAACAAACAAAAACGACAACAAAGAGUGCCUAGCACUAUGACACAUAGUUGUAGAAGCCAGGGCACUGUAUGCACUGUAUUCUUGCCUCUGUAAAUUGUCCUGUGUGGUAUGGUGUGUCAGUACAGGAAGUAGCUGCUCAACGACCACAGCCUCCUCCAUUAUCCCCCCAGUACAUUCAAGGGAUCGACGGUGGCCAGGAACAAAUUCAGACAGCACGAAGGACCUGGAGCUGGGGAGAGAGGCCUGGCCAGGAUCCGGAUAAUCACAGCUCACUAAAGAGAUUGAGGAAGAGCUCUGGAGGCAAGGACAACCAGAUCUCUGUGAGUUCUGGGCCAGCCGGUCUAGACAGUGAAUUGUAAGCCAGCCAGCGAUACAAAGUGAGACCCUGUCUUGGAAAAAGAAAAAGAAAAAGAAAAAGACCCAGCCCAUCCAAUGUCAUUUGUGCCCCCCCCCCAAAUCUGGGUACAGGGGCUAUACCAGGGUCCCAUAUCACAGUCCAUGGAAGAAACCCACAGUGGGGAAUAGUGAAGUGCCAAGAGUAGCCUCGAUGUCCUCUACUUCUGAAAUCCCCCCCCACCUCUCGUUUGUUUUUGAGACAGGGUUUCUCUGUGUAACAGCAUUUAACUUGGGUUCUGGAAAUUGCAUUCUGGUCACAAACAGUUCAUCAGCCCUUUGUGAAAUGUUUUCUUGGUAUAAGGGCAUUCUGUAUACCAAUUUUAAAAUUCCAAAUGAUGGUAUUUCAGGUCCCACUUAAUAAAUAGUCCAAAUCAAUUGUAAGUUUGGGUCUGAUAGUUAAUCUGACUUUCCCAAGAGGGCCCAGGCCCAUCUCCACUAACAACUCUCUGGGAAAACUUUGGUCAAAUCCUCCUAGUCAGUCUGCACCUCUGAAAACUGGGGCACCCAGCCCAUUGCCUGAAGGUCACUCUGAUUCUCUGGGGAGGAAAUCACCUUCACAGCUCAGGUUCCCAGGAAUGUAUAUGCCCCGACUCCUGCAUCCUUGGUUGGGAAGGAGUCUGAUUAUUAUUUACUGCUGGUCGGACUUGCUGGCUCCUUGUCCAGCUGUCUGUGACUCCCAAGCCCUUCCCAACAGGAGCCACUCUGUAGCUAGGAGACAGAAAGAAGGUGAC
ensembl:lncRNA